AUUGAACGCUAGCGGGAGGCCUAACACAUGCAAGUCGAACGAGUGGCGGACGGGUGAGUAAUGUAUGGGAAACUGCCUGAUGGAGGGGGAUAACUACUGGAAACGGUAGCUAAUACCGCAUACCAUCAGCGGGGCCGAGAUGGGAUUAGCUAGUUGGUGGGGUAAAGGCUCACCAAGGCCACGAUCCCUAGCUGGUCUGAGAGGAGGACCAGCCACACUGGAACUGAGACACGGUCCAGACUCCUACGGGAGGCAGCAGUGGGGAAUAUUGCACAAUGGGGGAAAGCCUGAUGCAGCCAUGCCGCGUGUAUGAAGAAGGCCUUCGGGUUGUAAAGUACUUUCAGCAGGGAGGCGUUACCCGCAGAAUAAGCACCGGCUAACUCCGUGCCAGCAGCCGCGGUAAUAC
rnacentral:rRNA from 1 species